AACGCGAAGAACCUUACCUGGGUUGAACUACGCAGGAAAAGCCGUAGAGAUACGGUGUCCGAAAGGGCCUGCGAUAGGUGGUGCAUGGCUGUCGUCAGCUCGUGUCGUGAGAUGUUGGGUUAAGUCCCGCAACGAGCGCAACCCUUGUCCUAUGUUGCCAGCGGGUAAUGCCGGGGACUCGUAGGAGACUGCCGGGGUCAACUCGGAGGAAGGUGGGGAUGACGUCAAGUCAUCAUGCCCCUUACGUCCAGGGCUGCACACAUGCUACAAUGGCCGAUACAAAGGGCUGCUAUCCCGCGAGGGUGAGCGAAUCCCAAAAAGUCGGUCUCAGUUCGGAUCGCAGUCUGCAACUCGACUGCGUGAAGUCGGAGUCGCUAGUAAUCCCGGAUCAGCAACGCCGGGGUGAAUACGUUCCCGGGCCUUGUA
rnacentral:rRNA from 1 species